AUUAGCUUGUGGUGCUUCGAUUGUGUGAAAGACGCGAAAAUUAUUAGAUAAAAAUGCCAGCUUGCGCCGUUGUGGGGUGUACUGCUCGUUCUGAUCGUAGUCAAAAGUGUUCAGGAAUCACAUUUCACAAAUUUCCUAGUAAUGCAACUCGCAAAGACCUCUGGGUGAGAGCUCUGGGAAGGAAAGAUUGGGAGCCGUCGAAAUAUAGCAAAGUAUGUUCACAGCAUUUUCGGGAACAAGAUAUAGACCGAACUUCUGUUUCGACAGUUCGUAUUCGAGAAAACGCUGUGCCAUCCAUUUUUCCUGCGUUCCCGGCCCACCGAAAGAUGAUGGUUGAAGCGAUUGCUAUAACAAGCAGAAAUCUACGGAUACCAGUACUUGAAUGCUGGUCCCUAUUUUGACUGGAACCAAAGUGGAAUCUUCCUACAAGUCGGUCUGGGGCCUGAAGAUGAUGUAGUAAACCACUGAAAC